AUUGAACGCUGGCGGCAGGCCUAACACAUGCAAGUCGAACGAGUGGCGGACGGGUGAGUAAUGUCUGGGAAACUGCCUGAUGGAGGGGGAUAACUACUGGAAACGGUAGCUAAUACCGCAUAGCAUAGGCUGUGCCCAGAUGGGAUUAGCUAGUAGGUGGGGUAACGGCUCACCUAGGCGACGAUCCCUAGCUGGUCUGCGAGGAUGACCAGCCACACUGGAACGGAGACACGGUCCAGACUCCUACGGUAGGCAGCAGUGGGGAAUAGUGCACAAUGGGCGCAAGCCUGAUGCAGCCAUGCCGCGUGUAUGAAUAAGGCCUUCGGGUUGUAAAGUACUUUCAGCGGGGAGGCGUUACUCGCAGAAGAAGCACCGGCUAACUCCGUGCCAGCAGCCGCGGUAAUAC
rnacentral:rRNA from 1 species